GACCGGGGUCCGGACGGCGGUACGGCGUGAACCUGGUCAGGUCCGGAAGGAAGCAGCCAUAAGCGUCCUCUACCGGGCGUCCGGGUCCCGCUCGGG
rnacentral:SRP_RNA from 1 species